GCCUUCCUUCUUUGUUCCUGCCCCUAUGAAUAAGAGGGAAAAAUGAAAACCAGAUGUUCCUGUAUGCACACAGAAAAGAAGACUUGGGGAAAAUGGUUGGUUGGCAGAAGAACUGGAAGUGGACUUUGGGCUGAUGAAUAACUGAAUGAGAUUUUCUGAAACUCAAUCUUGCUUUACCUUCUUUGUCAGGCUACAAGGUGGAGGCAACACACAUACUCUUGUUUGGUCUUCCCAAUAAAUAUACAAAACUACUGUUCUUGCUCCAUAGUGAGUAAACAGAGGUCAUCUGACUUGUUGUCUGGCUUAGGAACACAAGUUAGUUUUAUGUAGCCUUCUUGUUGCGUAAGCCAUAAUAGUGAACGGAAGACUCAGAUAUUGGGAGCAUCUCAUCCUGGC
rnacentral:lncRNA from 1 species